GCCGGUUCAGCGCAGCCCGGAGUCGCCCAGGCCUGAACUCCUACCCAGGCUCUCUGGCACACCAGCCUUGUGUCAGGGUGGGCAGCAGCACAAGGGUGGCUGGGGCGGGGCAUGGCUAAAGGCCAGCAGGUCACCCAGUGGGUCAGAGGCCAUGAUCUGGAGGAGGCAACUUGGCAGCCCCAGGAGGACAUGCUGGGUCCAGGGUCUCCAGGAUGAGUGUCAGUACCUCCUUCAGCCGCAGCUGAUUGUCCGGCGUUUGCUGGACGUCGCUGUGCUGGUUCCUGGCCGGCCCUCAGAGCAAACCCUCUCCCCACACAAUCGCUCAGCCCUGUACAAGGUCUUUGUGCCCAGCUUCACUUACAGGGUUUCAGCACAGCUGGUGUGUGUGGGGGGCCGUGGGGUAUCUGCCUGCCCCCUGUCACUGCGUCUGCGUCCCAAAGCCCCACCCCUGCACAACUCAAGCUCUGUGGCCUGUGGAGGUGCCUCAGGAUGCCAGCUGGAGCUGGCACUGCCCCCCUGGGGGCACUGGGUCUACGUGCGUGUGGAAACGUCAUCCCGGGGCCCUGGUAGGACCAUCCGCUUCCAGCUGUGUGUGCGGUUGCAAGAGUGCCCACAGCCCGGCCUGCUCCGAGCCCUGGUCCCUGGAGCUGCCAUGAACAUGCCCCAGUCCCUGGGCAACCA
rnacentral:sRNA from 1 species